AAUCCAGGAACAAGGAAGGCUGGGGCACGCUCUACUGUCAGCCCAGUAUACGCAGUAGAGGGUUGUGAGGUCACAGUCCAUUGCCUGGAGAUGUCACACAUUGUGACUUCAUGGCAUCAAAGUUUAUUGCUCAGAUCUCUCACCCUUGGGUAGCCUGACAGUCCCACAGCACUCCAUCUAGCACCAACACUGCACCUCUACACACCCACUGGAGCUACUGUGGUGUCGAUGAUGGUUUUUCUCAGCAGACACCCAGACACUAGUUAUCUCUGGAAUUAGAUGCCUCCUAGGAGAUGCAACAGAACUUCAGACUACCACACAGCACCAGAUAGUAAAGAGUACCAGGUGGCAGCUAUGUAACUUCACCAUGGAUGCCGAUUGUCUGUAUGGCCAAGUAUUUCUCUGCAGACACUAAUGAACAGGCUGUCCAAAGGCUCACUAGCGGUCUACUAACAGCAACUUGUUAGUUCCUUUGAACAAGAGGAGUCUGAUUCUGACCUCACUCACAGGAAAAUUAAUUGCAAAGGCAGUGAACAGUAUCUAAAAACUCAAUGAUAGAAUUUGUAAAGGAAGGUGUGGAAUGCUUAUGCAGUUAAGCUAACAUGAAUGGGACCUGUAAAACUAUGUUAGAGAUGCCUUCUAUGAUUUUGGAUCCUAACAUCAUCCCUUAUUGCAUGUAACACCAUGAGCGAUUCAGUCUCUCUGAGUCAAUGCAGUGCUCUCAUUCUAAUGUUUUUAUACAAAAGUGGGACAAAGGAUAUCACUCUACUCAGUGAAAUUUGGGAAACAAACCAACAAAUAAAUAAAUAGUAUGAAACAA